rnacentral:rRNA from 1 species
AACCAUGCAAGUCGAACGAUGAUGCCCAGCUUGCUGGGUGGAUUAGUGGCGAACGGGUGAGUAACACGUGAGUAACCUGCCCCUGACUCUGGGAUAAGCGUUGGAAACGACGUCUAAUACUGGAUAUGACUACUGGCCGCAUGGUCUGGUGGUGGAAAGAUUUUUUGGUUGGGGAUGGACUCGCGGCCUAUCAGCUUGUUGGUGAGGUAAUGGCUCACCAAGGCGACGACGGGUAGCCGGCCUGAGAGGGUGACCGGCCACACUGGGACUGAGACACGGCCCAGACUCCUACGGGAGGCAGCAGUGGGGAAUAUUGCACAAUGGGCGAAAGCCUGAUGCAGCAACGCCGCGUGAGGGAUGACGGCCUUCGGGUUGUAAACCUCUUUUAGUAGGGAAGAAGGGAGCCGCAAGGCUUUUGACGGUACCUGCAGAAAAAGCACCGGCUAACUACGUGCCAGCAGCCGCGGUAAUACGUAGGGUGCAAGCGUUGUCCGGAAUUAUUGGGCGUAAAGAGCUCGUAGGCGGUUUGUCGCGUCUGCUGUGAAAUCCCGAGGCUCAACCUCGGGCUUGCAGUGGGUACGGGCAGACUAGAGUGCGGUAGGGGAGAUUGGAAUUCCUGGUGUAGCGGUGGAAUGCGCAGAUAUCAGGAGGAACACCGAUGGCGAAGGCAGAUCUCUGGGCCGUAACUGACGCUGAGGAGCGAAAGCAUGGGGAGCGAACAGGAUUAGAUACCCUGGUAGUCCAUGCCGUAAACGUUGGGCGCUAGAUGUAGGGACCUUUCCACGGUUUCUGUGUCGUAGCUAACGCAUUAAGCGCCCCGCCUGGGGAGUACGGCCGCAAGGCUAAAACUCAAAGGAAUUGACGGGGGCCCGCACAAGCGGCGGAGCAUGCGGAUUAAUUCGAUGCAACGCGAAGAACCUUACCAAGGCUUGACAUACACCGGAAACGGCCAGAGAUGGUCGCCCCCUUGUGGUCGGUGUACAGGUGGUGCAUGGUUGUCGUCAGCUCGUGUCGU